UUAUUUUUCUAUGUUAUUGCGUCAUGUCUUACAUUCCUAUUGCAAUAACAAAGGCCCACCACGAGUCUUAUCAAUUAACAAGUGACAAGUGAACAAAACUCUCUGUGUUAUGUUUUCGCGAGUGCGGUGCUUUCACUCUCAAUUAAUGGCAUCAUCCAAGGUUCCCACAAGCUGUAGUCGUGCCCGUGAAACUACUUCAAUGACAGGAGCUACUACCCAGACAGUCUGUUAAUGUGAGCCUACCAUGCCCUCCCUUCCCUUUGUGGUGGCAGGACGCCCCUCCCCAG